AACGAACGCUGGCGGCAGGCUUAACACAUGCAAGUCGAACGAGAUCUUCGGAUCUAGUGGCAGACGGGUGAGGAACACGUGGGAACAUCCCUUUCAGUUCGGAAUAACGUUGGGAAACUAACGCUAAUACCGGAUACGUCCUUCGGGAGAAAGAUUUAUCGCUGAAAGAUUGGCCCGCGUCUGAUUAGCUAGUUGGUGAGGUAACGGCUCACCAAGGCUACGAUCAGUAGCUGAUCUGAGAGGAUGAUCAGCCACAUUGGGACUGAGACACGGCCCAAACUCCUACGGGAGGCAGCAGUGGGGAGUAUUGGGCAAUGGGCGCAAGCCUGAUCCAGCCAUGCCGCGUGAGUGAUGACGGCCUUCGGGUUGUAAAGCUCUUUAGUCCGGGAAGAUAAUGACUGUACCGGAAGAAUAAGCCCCGGCAAACUUCGUGCCAGCCGCCGCAGUAA
rnacentral:rRNA from 1 species